rnacentral:rRNA from 1 species
CACGAAGUUAGCCGGGGCUUAUUCUUCCGGUACAGUCAUUAUCUUCCCGGACAAAAGUGCUUUACAACCCUAAGGCCUUCAUCACACACGCGGCAUGGCUGGAUCAGGCUUGCGCCCAUUGUCCAAUAUUCCCCACUGCUGCCUCCCGUAGGAGUUUGGGCUGUGUCUCAGUCCCAAUGUGGCUGAUCAUCCUCUCAGACCAGCUACUGAUCGUCGCCUUGGUGAGCCAUUACCUCACCAACUAGCUAAUCAGACGCGGGCCGAUCUUUCGGCGAUAAAUCUUUCCCCCGAAGGGCGUAUCCGGUAUUAGUACAAGUUUCCCUGUAUUAUUCCGAACCAAAAGGUACGUUCCCACGUGUUACUCACCCGUCUGCCACUAGCACCCGAAGGUACCCGUUCGACUUGCAUGUGUUAAGCCUGCCGCCAGCGUUCGCUCUGAGCCAGGAUCAAACUCU